rnacentral:misc_RNA from 1 species
GAUGAAGACGCAGCAAAAUGCGAUAAGUAGUGUGAAUUGCAGAAUUCAGUGAAUCAUCGAAUCUUUGAACGCACAUUGCGCCCGCUGGUAUUCCGGCGGGCAUGCCUGUUCGAGCGUCAUUUCAACCCUCAAGCUCUCCGGAGUUUGGUGUUGGGGCGCCUGGGGCUUUUCGACCUCAGGGCCCUCAAGUCCAUCGGCGGGACCGCCAGGACACUGAGCGCAGUAGUAUUAUUUCGCUCGGUAGGAUCUUCCACGGCGGGUCGAUCUGGCCGCUAAACCCCCCAAUUCUCACCAAAGGUUGACCUCGGAUCAGGUAGGAAUACCCGCUGAACUUAAGCAUAUCAAUAAGCGGAGGA